rnacentral:lncRNA from 1 species
CUGGUCUAAAUCUCGAUCAGUAUCUAUUUCGUCUCAAGAAAUUUCUACUGUCUUUGAUUCCUCUGCAUCUUUAUCUCUAAACUUCCAUAUUAAGUGGAUUUGGGAGUUGUAUGUUCCAAAGCAAGUAAAAUGUUUUUGUUGAAAACUCUGUUGGCAGAGAUUACCUAGUAAAGAGCUAUUGUUAUACAGAAAUAUUUUGCCUUCUAGAUCUCCUACAUGUGAUUUAUGUGAGGGUUUUGUGGAAGAUUGUCAACAUGUGAUUAUUACAUGCACAGAUGCUCAAGAAUGCUGGAACCUUAUGGGACAACAUUUUACUAUUCCCACUCCCUCCUCUUUGCUGGAUUUCUUAAUGUAUUUAGCAAAUCCAAGGAUGAGGAAAAGAGCCAAAGCAAUUGCCGCAUGCAUGGCAUCUCUUAUAUGGUUUUCAAGGAACCAGAGAAUUUUUAAAGGUCAAUAUUUAAAUUUAAUGCAUCUUCUGCGACUAUGCUCUGUUUUAAUAAUGACCAAUUUUUGCCGUCUGCAAUUUCUUUGCAUUCUGUGGGCUCCCAUUUAAGGAA